AGGCACUUCUCAGUUCCCAGAUGGUGGGCAGCCGCCAGAGGCGCUCCUCACUUCCUAGAGGGCUGGCUGCCUGGCAGAGGCACUCCUCACUUCUCAGAUGGUUGGCAUCCGGGCAGAGGUGCUCCUCACUUCCCAGAUGGUGGGCAGCCUUUCAGUUCCCAGACCGUGGUAAGCCAGGCACAAGCGCUCAUCACUUCCCAGACAGGGACGCGGCCAGGCAGAGGUGCUCCUCGUUUCCCAGAUGGUUGGCAGCUGGGCAGAG
rnacentral:lncRNA from 1 species